UACGUAGGGUGCAAGCGUUGUCCGGAAUUAUUGGGCGUAAAGAGCUCGUAGGCGGUCUGUCGCGUCUGCUGUGAAAACCUGGGGCUUAACCCCGGGCCUGCAGUGGGUACGGGCAGACUAGAGUGCGGUAGGGGAGACUGGAAUUCCUGGUGUAGCGGUGAAAUGCGCAGAUAUCAGGAGGAACACCGGUGGCGAAGGCGGGUCUCUGGGCCGUAACUGACACUCAGGGACGAAAGCUAGGGGAGCGAAUGGG
rnacentral:rRNA from 1 species